AGGAUGAACGCUGGCGGUCUGCUUAACACAUGCAAGUCGAACGGAGUAGCAAUACUUAGUGGCGGACGGGUGAGUAACGCGUGAGAAUCUACCUUCAGGACGGAGACAACAGUUGGAAACGACUGCUAACCCCCGAUGUACUGAAAAGGCAAAUAUUUAUAGCCUGAAGAAGAGCUCGCGUCCGAUUAGCUAGUUGGAGAGGUAAAAGCUCACCAAGGCGACGAUCGGUAGCUGGUCUGAGAGGACGAUCAGCCACACUGGGACUGAGACACGGCCCAGACUCCUACGGGAGGCAGCAGUGGGAAUUUCCGCAAUGGGCGAAAGCCUGACGGAGCAAGACCGCGUGGGGGAAGAAGGCUCUUGGGUUGUAAACCCCUUUUCUCUGGGAAGAACACAAUGACGGUACCAGAGGAAUCAGCAUCGGCUAACUCCGUGCCAGCAGCCGC
rnacentral:rRNA from 1 species